rnacentral:rRNA from 1 species
CAGCAGCCACGGGAAUACGUAGGGUGCAAGCGUUAAUCGGAAUUACUGGGCGUAAAGCGUGCGCAGGCGGUUUGUUAAGACAGAUGUGAAAUCCCCGGGCUCAACCUGGGAACUGCAUUUGUGACUGGCAAGCUAGAGUAUGGCAGAGGGGGGUGGAAUUCCGCGUGUAGCAGUGAAAUGCGUAGAUAUGCGGAGGAACACCGAUGGCGAAGGCGGCCCCCUGGGCCAAUACUGACGCUCAUGCACGAAAGCGUGGGGAGCAAACAGGAUUAGAUACCCCUGUAGUCCCUGUCUCUUAUAA